CUUACUCACCCCAAGUUUCAUAAUUGAAACACAAGCCUACAUUCGCAAUCGCAUAGAUGAAAAUAAAAAAAUGUCGACUCUUAUAAUGGAUUUUCCUGUUUGACGUCGUCGUAAACUGGUUUACUACCAUUUUGAACAAUGCACUGGAAUAGAAGCAAAAUCACUAGAAAACUACUUUCUAAUGAAGAGACAAAAAAUUAUCAGUUUUUCUAAAAAGCGACCAAAAAAGUUACACCUCACAGAGGCGUGUACGGACAUCCAAAUCUUUCAAUUUUUAUGCAGUCUUGUUGAGGAUGAAUGGAGUGAGCUCCUGUGUGUCAAAGAGUUAGGAACACGCUUGGAAGGCAUCGUGACUUAUUCACCAAGCCCUAUGUUGGUUGAAAUAGAUAUGGGCAAUACAAGUAUGUAUUACGUAUAUGCAGAAGAAACGCGUUUAUCAGAAGGAACAGCGCAAACCAAAUGUGCCUUAAUGGAUCUACUGGCCGUUUACUACGUGCAUAAUUUUAUGUAUAAAAAAACAAUUUCGAAGUUUUUGGAAUUUAUUCAACAAUAUUUUUGUAAAAUAAUAUCAUUCGAAGGAUCAAAGUCUCAAGCUGUCAGAAUUGGGCGACAACAACGCAUUGUUAACAAAAUAAU